GGCCGCUUGCUGGAAUUGGUAGACAGACCGGACUUAAAAUCCGCGGGGCGUACGCCCGUGAGGGUUCGAGUCCCUCAGCGGCCACCA
rnacentral:tRNA from 1 species